GCUGCUUUUCCUUUGUCUGAGGUACACCUGACCAGGUUUAGGGCGGAUGCAGUCCCUCCAAGGAGCUGUCCCUGAUACUCCAGUGCCAAGAUGAAAUAGAGCAGAAAGCAAGGAUUGGAGGGCGUGCUUGGCUUUGGAAUGUGUCAUUCAAACGGAAGAGGAACAGAUCCAGAGGGUUGGUGAUGUGGAAAUUCCCAGACCAGGAAUCAAGCAUAGGGCUAUAUACAUAUUUGACUGUUUGACUGAUGGAUGUGGACAAAGUCUGAGAUUUGGGAAACCUACUGCUCAUCAGUCAUGAAGCAGGGCCUGAAGGUGACAGCUACAUAUCCCCAGCCACAGUUUGUGCAAAAACAACAUUUUAUUUCAAAGCACAGUUGAAAGCGUCUCCUUUGCUUUGAGAGUGUUAAUUAUUUCUGAAGUGUAAGAAAGUGCAUUCA